rnacentral:rRNA from 1 species
AUUGAACGCUGGCGGCAUGCUUUACACAUGCAAGUCGAACGGUAACAUAAGAAAGCUUGCUUUCUUGAUGACGAGUGGCGAACGGGUGAGUAAUACAUCGGAACGUACCCUGUAGUGGGGGAUAACUACUCGAAAGAGUGGCUAAUACCGCAUACAACCUGAGGGUAAAAGUGGGGGACCGCAAGGCCUCACGCUAUAGGAGCGGCCGAUGGAAGAUUAGGUAGUUGGUGGGGUAAAGGCCUACCAAGCCGACGAUCUUUAGCGGGUCUGAGAGGACGAUCCGCCACACUGGGACUGAGACACGGCCCAGACUCCUACGGGAGGCAGCAGUGGGGAAUUUUGGACAAUGGGCGAAAGCCUGAUCCAGCAAUGCCGCGUGAGUGAAGAAGGCC